UAGAGCCGUGACGACCGGGCUCACGUUCCUGUCUCUGCUCUCUGCAUUCCCUCUCUCCCUCUUUGCAUUUGGAGUUUACAUGCAUGGUUUCUGUGUCAUGAUAUUUUCCCACUGGAGGAGGUAGAGGACGUUUUCCCACCAGGAGUGGUUUCAUGGGCGUGUGUGUGGGGGCUGCGGUCACGGCCUCAGGUGAUCCGCCCCCCUCGGCCUCCCAAAGUGCUGGGAUUACAGGCGUGAGCCACCACGCCUGGCUGAGGUUGUUUCUUAAGUGGCAAAAACAAAUUCACUUCCUCAUUGCUGAAUCAAAAUCUCCUCUUUUGUAAGUAAGUAUAAUUUCUACCCAGGCAUGGACAGAUACCUGAAAUUUGAACAUUUCAUCGGCGGAAGCGUUCAUGAUGUUACAAAUCUGUAAAAGGAUCAGAAAAACGAUUUCAUCCAAAGCAGCGGAAGGUCUGUUAUGAUCUAAAAUGGCCUCUGUGGCCCUGAGGCUGCCGUGCUGGGGCCCCUCCCUCUUGGGAACCCCUCCCUCUCCGGAGGCUGUGUGGCUUCAGCCUGCUUUCUAGGACUCAGCGUUGGCGCCUGCCCUGCCCCCCUGACCCUGACUUGUGCUCAAGCCUGGCACCUGGAUCCUGGUUCCUGCUUGGGGCCUGGGGAUGGGGUCUUGAUAGGCUUAUGGGAUCACAGGGCCACUGGGCCACACAGCUGUCCCUCCCUUGGCUGGAGUCCUGCCCUGACCUCCGGACUGGAGUUCUCCUCCUCUUCCAGCCCCACGGGGCCAAGACUCGGCCUCCUGGCUGGAGGCUCCACUGUCUGGGUUGGGCUGGUGGAGCCAGGGUCAGAUCCUGGGGCCUUCAUGCUCAAUUGUUGCUAACGAGGCCGCCUGGACAGCUUGCCUGGUCCCCUGGACGUCCACUCUGAAUGUCCACAGUGACUCAGGCUCCUCAGCUGCCCACGUCCUCCUCACCAUCUCCCAGAACAGUGAGUCGGCUUCUGUCUCACCCCCUACUCCACUAUGCCCCAUGGCACACAGAGCACCACAGGCAGGGCCGGGCCAGGCCGACGCUGCUGACUGCACCGUGGGAAGCCCUGGGAGAACGGCCCUGGAGGCUGAGCCGCUGUCUGAGGGGCGGUCCCUCCCCCAGGGACGCUUCUGUUGGAGCCAGGGAAACAGAGGCGUGUGGACGGGCCCUGGGCCCCUCCCCUAAGACUCACCCGGCCAUCAGGUGUGCGUGGGCCCGAGUACGGCUGGGACUCUCCCAUCAGCACAGGCCACACGUCAAAAAAUUCCUGGGCAGAGAAGAGGAGGCCCACGGAAUACCGCUCGCAGUUGAGGUAGGCCCGCACCGUGUAGAAGGCCUUGUGGAACUGCCUCUCGAUGUCCGUCAGCUCCUCAAACACCUUGUUGGCCGACCACAGCAGCACCUGGAGGGAGGGGCACACCUGUGGGCCUGCGGCCACUCCCACCCUCACGCCUGUCUGACCACAGCAGCAGGGGUUUAACUCAAGCCUGACACUCAGGUGUGCUCCCUGAUCUGACCACCUGCCCAGCCGCAGAGCCCGGCACAGACCCUGACUGGUGGUGCCGUGGCCAGGUUUCAUCUGAGCUUGUGGGGCCCGGGAGCCGGCUGGCGGUGAGGCCUGGAGGCUGCAGUCGCGUCCCUGAUGACUCGCGAGUGGACGAGUGGAAAGUGGUAUCCGUCGCUCUGAGCUUGAGAGGCAAACAUCCGACCAGCCCUUCCUCAGCCCGGCCGCUCCAGAAUCACCUGUGGCGAGCAGGGCUUUGGGGACAUGGGGCCGUGGUUUCCGGACGUCAGGCCCCCUGUGGCCUCCGCCAAGCGUUUGAGAGUGAAGCAUUGCUGACGCACUCCACGAGGUCCUGGCCAGACCCCGCGCAGGACAUCCCGCCACACGGGCCCCUGGCUGCUGGGUCAGCGCUGCUGCCAGGCUCAGACUCACCGCAGGGCCCUCCUUGGGCCACCUUUCUCUGCCUCCUUGGUCAAGGCCCAGACCCGGGCCCCGCCAGGCCCCGCCUCCUCACACUCGCGGUGGCUGCUGGGUCUUCUACCGCGUGGUGCCAGCUCCCUGUCCUCCGCUGCGGUGUCCUAGCCCGGCUCUCUCCCUGCCAGGCCUUCUGAAGUUCCACCCCCUGGCACUCAGCUCAUGGUGGGAACAGGACCAGGCUCUCCUGUUGCCAAGGGCAGUGAGACGUUCGUAGCUUUAUUUCCCAGUACAUUGAUUUUACUGAUUUUAGUUUAUCUUCAGUUGAAUAAUUGUGUGUAUUUAUGGGGUUUAUGUGUUACGGGGUUUGGUGUGAUGUUCUGAUCUACGUAUUUGUUGCAGAAAGAUUCAGUUAAGCUAAUCAACAUAUCCAUCAUCUCACCAACUUGUUUUUUUGUGGUGAGAACAUUCCAAAUCUACUUUCUAGCAAUUUGGUAAACAAUACCGUCAUCCCUCGGUAUCCUCAGGGAAAUUGGUUCCAGGACGCCACUCUGAUAUCAAAAUCUGCGGAUGCUCAAGUCCCGGAUGUGAAAUGGCCUAGAGUUUGCACAGAGGUUGCACGCGCCCCCCAACACUUUAAACCAUCUCUGAUGACUUAGCACCCAGUGCAAGGCAAUGCCAUGAAAACGGCUGUUCUACUGUAUUGUUUUACAUUCUUAUUCUUAUUUUUAAUUUAAAACUUUCCCACAUAAUAAAUCCUCAGAAGCAGAACCGCA